rnacentral:rRNA from 1 species
AAAUUGAAGAGUUUGAUCAUGGCUCAGAUUGAACGCUGGCGGCAGGCCUAACACAUGCAAGUCGAACGGUAACAGGAAGCAGCUUGCUGCUUCGCUGACGAGUGGCGGACGGGUGAGUAAUGUCUGGGAAACUGCCCGAUGGAGGGGGAUAACUACUGGAAACGGUGGCUAAUACCGCAUAACGUCGCAAGACCAAA